CGGCUUCUAAGUCAGUGGCCCUGCUCUGUGUCCAGUGGCUUGCCUUCGGGUUUACUUGGAUCACACUCAACAGUUGAGGUCAUUGGAUUUGUCCCAACUGUUUAUUUCCUUUAGGACGCCGUUUCUACCGGUCUCCUCGACUACGUUGGCUUGUUGGGUUAAAAAUCUCCUUUCCGCGGCAGGGAUUGAUACAUCAAUAUUUUCAGCUCAUUCGGUCAGAGGAGCCAUGGCAUCCAAAGCUUCUAAGAUGGGGUGUCAUCUGGAUGAUAUUUUGAAAGCGGCGGAUUGGUCUAGUGAAUCUACG
rnacentral:lncRNA from 1 species